rnacentral:lncRNA from 1 species
AAGGGUCCCAAGGGCCGCCUCUUCCAGUCAACCACGAACCAUCCUCCAAAUCCUUCGUCGCCAUCUUCGCUUCCUAGGCCGCCCAUCUGGUUCUUCUCGGGGAAGGCCAUUGUCCUGGGUUUGUUACCCAUACCCCCCCUCCUCUCCACCCUUCAUCUGUUUUAUUUGCUUUCCGGAGAUCGAAUGGUUUAUUUGCUAUCUUUGAAAUAG